GAUGAAGAACGCAGCGAAAUGCGAUAACUAGUGUGAAUUGCAGAUUUCAGUGAAUCAUCGAGUCUUUGAACGCACAUUGCGCCCUCUGGUAUUCCGGAGGGCAUGCCUGUCCGAGCGUCAUUGCUGCCCUCCAGCCCGGCUGGUGUGUUGGGCCCCGUCCCCCUUCCCGGGGGGACGGGCCCGAAAGGCAGCGGCGGCACCGCGUCCGGUCCUCGAGCGUAUGGGGCUUUGUCACCCGCUCUUGUAGGCCCGGCCGGCGCCAGCCGACCCCCUCAAUCUAUUUUUCAGGUUGACCUCGGAUCAGGUAGGGAUACCCGCUGAACUUAAGCAUAUCAAUAAGCGGAGGA
rnacentral:misc_RNA from 1 species